UGCCAGCCGCCGCGGUAAUACAGAGGGUGCUAGCGUUAAUCGGAAUUACUGGGCGUAAAGCGCGCGUAGGUGGUUUAGUAAGUCGGAUGUGAAAGCCCGGGGCUCAACCCCGGAAGUGCAUUGGAAACUGGCGAACUUGAGUGCGGGAGAGGAAAGUGGAAUUCCGAGUGUAGGGGUGAAAUCCGUAGAUAUUCGGAGGAACACCAGUGGCGAAGGCGGCUUUCUGGACCGAUACUGACGCUGAGACGCGAAAGCGUGAGGAGCAAACAGGAUUAGAUA
rnacentral:rRNA from 1 species